GGUCAAACACAAUGGGAUUGUGGAGUCUCCAUCCUUUGAGAUAUUCACAACCCAGCUGAACACUGCUCUGGGCAACCCGCUUUAGCUGACUCUGUUCUGAGCAGACGUGUUGAAUUAAAGGAUUUCCGGAUGUCUACACCAAUCUCAACCAUUAUGUGAUACCAAGAUUCUGAGAUUUUGUGAUGAAGUCUAUGAAAAAAGGGAGGAGGACAAGCACAGAGCCUGUCUGAGGCCAUGUGGUUUGGAGAUCUGAUCACUAGUCCGAAAAGGAAAGGCUGUUUGCAAGAUUUCUGGGGUGUUUUUUCCUGGAAAAGGUCUCCUGACAAAUGCAGCAACACAGAAUCCUCGUAGGAGUGGUUUAGGCUCUCUGUGAGCUACUUAACUUAGUCAAGUUUCACUGCUGUUGAUCAUCAUCCGUUAUAUGUCAUCAACUCAACUGUCUGUUUCUCUGUAUCUCAUGAGUGACAGCAUAAUUCCUCUACAUUAUGAGCUAAAGUUUGUUCUACCAUUCUAAGGAUCACUGGACUAAGGAAUACAGAAAAAGAGAUAUGCUUGGGCAUUAGCAAUACAAACAAGUUCAUGGUUAACGUUUCAUCUGCGUUAUACGCCACUGCUGGACUUGCUGUUACCUACAUGUUUCAAUCCGAAGAGUCUGCUACAAUGAAGAGUAUCAUCCCAAUCAGCCUUAGAGAAGACUGUUUUGCCUAUGGGAGGACACUGAGGUGCAAAAGAGAAACUCUUCUUGUGCCCUAAACUGUCUGAAUUGCUUUUAUUUUCUUAUACUUUCAGUAUAUACAAUAGACCAAAGAGCAAAAUCUAUUUUAAAGUGGACACAAUCUUACUCUUAACAGAAUUAUGUCAUUUAAUUGAAGGAGGUCUCCACAAACAUGAUUCCAGCUUUCAAAAAGAUGAAAUGUUGUUGUCCAGCAGAAGUCUUUAUGGAAAGCUGCAGUAAAAACUAACUCAGAGACCUGCUCUUGAAAUGCCACGUUCAAGAGAACAUUAUGGAGCACUGAGAGAAAAUGACCUAUGUUUGAAAAACUUGGACAAAAGAACACAAACUGUCUACACGGCACCUUUAUUCCUCUGUACUUAGAUUGACUUUCUCGUACUAAAAUCAUUUUCAGUUUUAACCAGUUAAACAUGCCUCUUCUACAGUUCCAUUUUUGAUAGUUAAAGUUGGAUAAUACAGUAUUUGCAAAGAGCAUGUUUGGUCAUCUGUGGCCUAUGUCUCAUCUGAUACACCAUUUAGCACCAGAAAGCAAAUUAAAGAGAAAACAAAAGUAACAUUUGUUUGAAAGAGAUCAUUAAAUGUAUUUUGAAAAGCCUAAAGUUAUAUAUUUAACAGUUUUUAUAUGUUGUAUAUUUGUAGAAAAUCCUAUUUAACAAUUAACGUGAUAACUCUGACAGUCAUGACAAGUGGUUCAGAGUUAAGUUGUGUUUUAUUACUUCAGUUGUCUCUGAAGUGACUGGUGUAGUUUGCUUUCUUCCAUGGGGACAUUCUGGAUGUAAAGCAUGACCAGAGAGGACUGUGUAGAAAAAGCAAAGAAUAAUGUUGUUUAUAUUACAUAAAUGCAUUCAACCAUUGCA